CAACUUUCAACAAUGGAUCUCUUGGCUCUCGCAUCGAUGAAGAACGCAGCGAAAUGCGAUACGUAAUGUGAAUUGCAGAAUUCCGUGAAUCAUUGAAUCUUUGAACGCACCUUGCGCCCCUUGGUAUUCCGAGGGGCAUGCCUGUUUGAGUGUAAUUG
rnacentral:rRNA from 1 species